rnacentral:rRNA from 1 species
AGGAUGAACGCUGGCGGCGUGCCUAAUACAUGCAAGUCGAACGAAGAUGUUCUUGUGUUCGCAUGAGAGCUCUUAGUGGCGGACGGGUGAGUAACGCGUUGGUGACCUGCCCUAAAGAAGGGAACAACCUCGGGAAACUGAGGCUAAUACCCUAUGUGCUUCAGAAGAUUAGAUCCUUUUGAAGUAAAGGUUCUGUGGACGAAAGGCCACGGUAUCGCUUUAGGAGGGGCCUGCGUCCCAUCAGCUAGUUGGUAGGGUAAUGGCCUACCAAGGCGAUGACGGGUAGGGGACCUGAGAGGGUGACCCCCCACACUAGCACUGAAACACGGGCUAGACACCUACGGGUGGCAGCAGUAGGGAAUCUUGCACAAUAGACGAAAGUCCGAUGCAGCAACGCCGCGUGUGCGAUGAAGGCCUUCGGGUUGUAAAGCACUUUUCUGAGGGAUGAGGAAGGACAGUACCUCAGGAAUAAGUCUCGGCUAACUACGUGCCAGCAGCCGCGGUAAUACGUAGGAGGCGAGCGUUAUCCGGAUUUAUUGGGCGUAAAGCGCGUGCAGGUGGUUUGGUAAGUUGGGUAUGAAAUCUCCUGGCUUAACUAGGAGAGGUUGCUCAAAACUACCAGACUAGAGGACGGUAGAGGAAGGUGGAAUUCCCGGUGUAGUAGUGAAAUGCGUAGAUAUCGGGAGGAACACCAGUGGCGAAGGCGGCCUUCUGGGCCGUUCCUGACACUAAGACGCGAAAGCAUGGGUAGCAAACGGGAUUAGAAACCCCGGUAGUCCAUGCCGUAAACGAUGUGGACUUGAUGUCGGCGAUGUAAAAGUUGUCGGUGUCGUAGUUAACGCGAUAAGUCCACCGCCUGGGGAGUACGAUCGCAAGGUUAAAACUCAAAGGAAUUGACGGGGACCCGCACAAGCAGCGGAGCGUGUGGUUUAAUUUCGAUGCUACACGAAGAACCUUACCU